GGCAACAUAACAAAUAUGGAGAUAGCAGAAGUCGUUGAAAAAAUUGUACCAUUGAAUCUUGACUAUAAUUAAUGAAGAUAAGAAUAUGAUAUAUUUAUUAGACUCUUUGAGUAACAGGAACCGAGACUAAGCUUGACAAACUAUUGUGACCAAUGGGGUCAAGAUAUACAAUGCAUCAAGGGAUAUUUCAAAAGGAGCAGGUUUUAAACAAUUGACAGGUAAUCUUAAACAAAAUGGUGGUGUUGAAUGUGGAUAUUGUGUGAUGCGGUUCAUGAAAAAGAUAGUCUUGGAUGAAGAUCCACAAUUGGAGAGAAAGUUUGCAGCAUCAAAAAAUAAACAGUAUUACAAUCAAUCUCAGUAUGAUGAAGUCAGA